UUCUAGAUGGCUCAGUGGUAAAGAAUCUGCUUACAAUGCAGAAGAUGCAGGUUCAAUUCCUGGGCCAGGAG
rnacentral:tRNA from 1 species